rnacentral:lncRNA from 1 species
AGCAAAAGAAGCAGCUAUGAGGCCUCACGGAUAACAGAAAGAAUUAUCACACACCCAACUUACUGCCUGGCACAAUCUAUGUGAUACUGAAACAGAUCAUUGAAAAUCAAAACAUGUAACCUCUCCAAUAGUUAUUUCAGCUGUACAUUGACAAAUAGUUGGGUUGAUUGUAUUUUAUUUCUGGCUAAUAGAUUUCAGAUUUUAAUUACUGACUGAGACAACUGGAUUAAAAAAAUAAUUUAUGCCAGAGAUGACUUGGAAAGGAAGGCUGACAAAAGAAAAGAGGAUCAUUUUCCAACCAAUCUGGAAAAAAAUGACUAAAAACUCCGUAAAUAAUUCUAACGAAGGGCCUGUGGCAAUAAGCUGCUUAACUUAACUGGAAAGGAAGAAACACAAAGCCCAUGAAUGAGGAAAAGGCAUCAAUACUUUUAGAUACAUGGGGUUGAAAAAAAUGAGUCCCAUUUCACAGUCUCUUCAGUAAAAUCUUAAAUGAUGGCUACAAACAUAUUAUAGUAACCUGAAGCUAAUAAAACUACUAUCAUAUCACAUUACAAAUAUGAGAAAAUUAGUGUACAACAUUUCAUGUAAUCAACAAUUACAUUUUUUUUUCGUGGAAUCUAUUCUGCAGGCAGGAAGCAGAGACUCUGUGACUCUGGAGAGUUUUGAGCAGGGUGGCACGAGGCAUGCAAACAUUUUCUUGGCUGUUUUUUUAUUUUUAUUAUU